CCAAUAUGAAAGCGGAUGGGGAAUCACAGGCAUAUGGGCUUCGGCCUGUUGUCUGCCCCAUCUUGCUGAAUUAUUCACCCAUGUCUUUUGCGUACUAUUUGUUUCCUUGGUGGGCUUGCCUGCCAAUAGGACAAAAUUAAACCUUUUGUAAUUGCAAUCAGCGUCAGAAAACUUUAAUAGUUA
rnacentral:misc_RNA from 1 species